rnacentral:rRNA from 1 species
CACGUAGGGCGCGAGCGUUGUCCGGAUUUAUUGGGCGUAAAGAGCUCGUAGGCGGCUUGUCGCGUCGACUGUGAAAACUCGGGGCUCAACUCCGAGCUUGCAGUCGAUACGGGCAGGCUAGAGUUCGGUAGGGGAGACUGGAAUUCCUGGUGUAGCGGUGAAAUGCGCAGAUAUCAGGAGGAACACCGGUGGCGAAGGCGGGUCUCUGGGCCGAUACUGACGCUGAGGAGCGAAAGCGUGGGGAGCGAACAGG